UGAGGAAUCUUGCGCAAUGGGGGAAACCCUGACGCAGCAACGCCGCGUGAGUGAGGAAGGUCUUCGGAUCGUAAAGCUCUGUCAGAUGGGAAGAAAUGCAUGGGCGUUAAUAGCGUUCAUGCUUGACGGUACCGUCAGAGGAAGCACCGGCUAACUCCGUGCCAGCAGCCGCGGUAAUACGGGGGGUGCCAGCGUUGUUCGGAAUCAUUGGGCGUAAAGAGCGUGUAGGCGGCUUGAUAAGUCAGUUGUGAAAGCACUAGGCUCAACCUGGGAAGUGCAUUUGAAACUG
rnacentral:rRNA from 1 species